UAUAUUAAAUAUACAUAUAAAUUUAGUCAUUUUUAUUUUGAAAAUAUUUUAUAUAAUGAUUAUAUUUUCAAUUUACGAACUGAUAUGUUGUUCGAUGUGUGCGAGAACGAUCGUGUUCAAUAAUUCUAUCUUAAAUCAUUUGUUUGAACGUCUUUCUUAUUUUUAUUUUCUAAAUUCAAAAUCAUUCAGUGCUUUUUUUUAUAUAAAUAUAUAUAUAUAUUAAUUGUCAUUAGAAUACAUUAUGAGUUGCAUUGAUAUUUUGAAAGCGUUCAAAUUUUCGCGGGUUUAUUUCAUUUCAAAUAUUUCAAAUUAUAUUUCUGGCGAGUAAUUAAAACUUUAAACGCAUUAAUAAAUAAUUACAUAUACAUAUUUAUAUAUGUUAAUAGUAAUUGUGAUUUAUGCAUAUACAGAUGGUAAAUUGCACUCCAUUGAAUAUUAUCGUUCAAAGCAAGCAUUUCGAUCAUCAAAUUAUAGAACUCGCUUUUGCAAAUAUAUUUAUGCAACAUUUGUUCUAUUAAUCCAUUCAUGUAAUGUGGCAGAACAUCGAGAAAGCAUUACAUAAGCAAAAUAUUAUCUUGUUCUGUCAUUUCUUAUAACAUUUUUAUAUAUCGAUCAAAACUGAACGAACGAUUGAUGGUAAUUCGACAAUUCAAAUUUCCCGCAUUUAUUAUAGCUCCUGCGUCAUAAGUAGGUGCUGUCACCUAUGUAUACUAAAUACGUUCGAUCAUUUUAAAUUUCCCGCAUUUGUUAUACUACCCCCUCCGUCCAAAGUAGGUGCUGCCACCUAUGCAUGCUAAACUUUGUUCGAUCAUAUUAAAUUCGAUAUUUCGAUAAUACAAUAUUUAUCGUUUAUUAACAAAAUGGCGAACGCAGUAAGAACAAUUAAUGGAUCUCCGGUGAUUAUUAUUAGUGUCAUAGAAUUGAAAUGAAAAAGAAGAGGAAAGGAAUUAAUUAUGGCAUUAAUUCCAAUCGCUAUGAUUCUAUACCAAGUUUUCUACAGGUGGUAAGGUAACCCGAACCAAGAACCCGCAUGGCUAUCGAAAGUUCCUCCCGAUGACCCCUCGCACUCGCUGGUAUUCCCUUU